CGCAGGGUCGCUGUUGCUGUGCUCGUUUGAAAACGGCGGUGGCGGCCAAAACGGCUGAUUACAGACAGGAGAAAAUGAACGUCUUUGUGAGCGGAUAAACGAAUCGUCGUAGGAGUGUUUGAAUAGCUGUAAACCCGAGGACAGAGAGCGCAGACAGAGAGGUGAGGCAGAGGUCACUGCUUUAAUGCUUUAACAAGAUCAUUGAGAGAAACUGUCCACAGUGUCCAAAGCCUGGAAUUAUCUUCCUUAUGGAUGCCUAAGAUGACGGUCAUCUUUCUCUGAGUUGUUCUUUAAACUGUUAUGCAGAGACGGUUAAGGGUGAGUGGACUGAGACUGAAGAAAACAAAAGUGCACCGUGAGAAUGAACAGUGACGUGUCAUUCUAUGAGAUAUUUGAUGUGAGCAUGAAGUCCCAAUCCUGAAAAUACAAACGCUGUUUCCAGAAAAGUUGGGACAUUUUGUAAAAUGUGAUAAAACAAGAA